CAAAAUAUUGGCACAGAUAAAAAAAGACAACUCUUUUCUGCAGAAUAGCUGUUGACAUUAUAGUUGUGCAGGAACUUUGUUGACUCUAGAGAACCUCGGGCAAAUCGCACAUCCCCGUGGCGGCGACUUUGCAUGCGGAUGUCAUCCAUAUCAACUUUCGAUGCCAGUUUCUGCGCCUAUCAUGGUGACCACGGGUAACGGGUAAUCAUGGUUCCAUUCCAUACAGGGACCCUGAGAAAUGUCUACCACAUGCAAGGAAGGCAGCAUGCGCGCAAAUGACCCACUCCCGAAGCGGGAAGGUAGUGACG